rnacentral:rRNA from 1 species
UCCUCCCUCUGGCGGCGUGCUUAACACAUGCAAGUCGAACGGAAAGGCCCUGCUUUUGUGGGGUGCUCGAGUGGCGAACGGGUGAGUAACACGUGAGUAACCUGCCCUUGACUUUGGGAUAACUUCAGGAAACUGGGGCUAAUACCGGAUAGGAGCUCCUGCGGCAUGGUGGGGGUUGGAAAGUUUCGGCGGUUGGGGAUGGACUCGCGGCUUAUCAGCUUGUUGGUGGGGUAGUGGCUUACCAAGGCUUUGACGGGUAGCCGGCCUGAGAGGGUGACCGGCCACAUUGGGACUGAGAUACGGCCCAGACUCCUACGGGAGGCAGCAGUGGGGAAUAUUGCACAAUGGGCGGAAGCCUGAUGCAGCAACGCCGCGUGCGGGAUGACGGCCUUCGGGUUGUAAACCGCUUUCGCCUGUGACGAAGCGUGAGUGACGGUAAUGGGUAAAGAAGCACCGGCUAACUACGUG